rnacentral:rRNA from 1 species
UACGAAGGGGGCUAGCGUUGUUCGGAAUCACUGGGCGUAAAGCGCACGUAGGCGGAUUUUUAAGUCAGGGGUGAAAUCCCGAGGCUCAACCUCGGAACUGCCUUUGAUACUGGAGAUCUUGAGUCCGGAAGAGGUAAGUGGAACUGCGAGUGUAGAGGUGAAAUUCGUAGAUAUUCGCAAGAACACCAGUGGCGAAGGCGGCUUACUGGUCCGGAACUGACGCUGAGGUGCGAAAGCGUGGGGAGCAAACGGG